rnacentral:lncRNA from 1 species
AGGGGAGAGGGGUGAGCUAAAAAGCCCAGUGAGUAGAAACAAAGAAAACAGUUCAUUAAUUAUAUGCUUUCAUGAAAUGCGUCACAGCACAAACAAUUCACAUAACGGAUUGGACAUGACCACCAAAACUCCCUCUGACUGUAACAUAACAUGGUGCCCGGCCCUUCGGGCUCCUUAGGACUUCAUUAUGCCCGGCCCUUCGGGCUCCUCAGGACUUCAUUAUGCC